AGCGGCGGACGGGUGAGUAACGCGUGGGAACGUGCCCUUUGGUACGGGAUAACUGAGGGAAACUUCAGCUAAUACCGUAUGUGCCCUACGGGGGAAAGAUUUAUCGCCAUUGGAGCGGCCCGCGUUGGAUUAGGUAGUUGGUGGGGUAAAGGCCCACCAAGCCGACGAUCCAUAGCUGGUCUGAGAGGAUGAUCAGCCACACUGGGACUGAGACACGGCCCAGACUCCUACGGGAGGCAGCAGUAGGGAAUCUUGCGCAAUGGGCGAAAGCCUGACGCAGCCAUGCCGCGUGAAUGAUGAAGGUCUUAGGAUUGUAAAAUUCUUUCACCGGGGAAGAUAAUGACGGUACCCGGAGAAGAAGCCCCGGCUAACUUCGUGCCAGCAGCCGCGGUAAUACGAAGGGGGCUAGCGUUGCUCGGAAUUACUGGGCGUAAAGGGCGCGUAGGCGGAUGUUUAAGUCGGGGGUGAAAGCCCGGGGCUCAACCUCGGAAUUGCCUUCGAUACUGGACAUCUUGAGUACGGGAGAGGUGAGUGGAACUCCGAGUGUAGAGGUGAAAUUCGUAGAUAUUCGGAAGAACACCAGUGGCGAAG
rnacentral:rRNA from 1 species